AAGGUUUGAUUUAAAAUCCCCAAGCGAUGAGAGCCUACGACCAAGGAACUCGGAAGCUUUGCCUUUGACGGUCACGCCCACCACCAGACGGGCACCUUCUUCAACUUCUUCAGAAGUUGAACGAUUCUAGUCUACAGAUGAUGCAUCUCAAUAAUCCAGGUAGAAAAAUAAAUGAAUAAUAUUUAUUAGAUUUCAGAUUCAUCAAAAUAGAUACAAUGCACUGUACUGACAUUAGUAUCUCUCUCUUCUGUUUGCAGGUUGACAAGGCAGUGUUGCGCAUCAUGACUGAUGAGCAAAUGACAAAAUACAUAAACUCAUAUGAUGCAACAAAGAUCAAAAAGGUUAAGGAAAAUAUCUGAGACUGAGACAGCACAAAGUCCAGGUCCAUCACAUCAAUUUCAGUCAACCCCAACAGACAUUAAAAAUAGCAGCAUUGGCAGAAGAAAAAACACGAGUGAGGUCACUUUACCAGAACCGGGCCCCUUGUUUGAUGAGGCAGAUACACUUGUGUGGGAUUUCGGACGAUGAUGUGGUGGUUAUAAAUUUAAAACAUGUUGAUGAGGAUGUCACACAGAGCACGGAGGUGGGUGGAGCACCUACACAGGUGAUACAGCUUCUACUCCCUUCAGGUGAUGGCCUACCUACACUGGAUGAGCAGCAGUCCAUACACGAGGAAGCAGCACAAACUGCCCAGCUGGACAGUGGGCUAAAUUUCAAUUUGCCCUCAUAUUCAAGCAGCCAGAUGUCAACAGACAGCAACCCAGGAAGUCCCCAGACCACAUAACGUACCUCAGUUUGCAGGAUAAAGGUUGUUGAUGAUCUUUUGCCUGUAUUUACUGACAGCAGCAUCAUGAAUAUGACUCUAAAGAUGGACUUUGUCAAUGAAAAAGCUAUUGAUGAUGCCGGAGUGUCAAGGGAGGUGUACACAGCCUUCUGGGAGCAAUUUCUUGAACAGUGUGAAGGAGAAACAGAGCGAGUUCCAAGGCUUAGGCCAGAUUUUUCUGAGGCUGAAUGGCAAGCAGUUGGACGAAUUUGGGUGAAAGGAUUUGUAGACCAUGGUGUUAUGCCAGUAAAGUUAUCAGUGGCUUUUAUUUUAGCAUGCAUCAAUGGAAUUGACCAUGUUGAUACAGACAUCCUGAUGUCAUCGUUUCUCAACUACCUCCCUCCCUCCCACCGAGAGAUCAGCUGUUGAGAAGGCUCUUCAGGAAACAUUGGAUGAAAGUAAUCAAGAGGACUUGCUUGACCUUUUCACACGGAUGGGUUCCCAUUUCCUACCUCCAGAGAACAACAUGAAGCCUGCUGUUGUGCCAGUUCAGACGUGACAACAAAAACUGCAUCAAUUCGGGACGUAACGGACUGCGUUA